rnacentral:rRNA from 1 species
ACAGCAGUCGCCGCGGUAAUACGAAGGGUGCAAGCGUUAAUCGGAAUUACUGGGCGUAAAGCGUGCGUAGGCGGUGAGUUAAGUCUGCUGUGAAAUCCCCGGGCUCAACCUGGGAAUGGCAAUGGAUACUGGCUAGCUAGAGUGUGUCAGAGGAUGGUGGAAUUCCCGGUGUAGCGGUGAAAUGCGUAGAGAUCAGGAGGAACAUCAGUGGCGAAGGCGGCCAUCUGGGACAACACUGACGCUGAGGCACGAAAGCGUGGGGAGCAAACAGGAUUAGAUACCCGGGUAGUCCCUGUCUCUUAUAC